CUUUGCUCUUAUCCAAUUAUCCUCUCUUCUUCCGUGGGAAGGUCAGGAGGCCAAGAACCAUCGCACUGCGGCGACGCCGCGGCGACCGGCCUCUCUCCGUCUGACCUCGCCUCUCCACCGCCGCCGGCCAACCUAGGGUGUGUGAAGUCAGAUGGAUCCGCCGCCGGCGGGCGGAACACUCCAGGGGCCAUGAUAGAUUACGCCCACACGUGCUCCCCGGCCACCAACGACGCGCCGGUGUGCAAUCGUCGUCGAUCUUCGCCUGCACUACCUUGCUGAUUCGAAGCAGAUCUCUCUUGCCUCUUACCCAAUCUCCUAGUGCAGCACGCAUACAGCUAGUCUGAAUUAGAAUGGUAACAAGCACAUGUCCCUGAAUCAAAUUAGCCACAAACCACAGCUAGUCUGGAUUUCUGAAUUAGAAUGGUAACUGCAUCAUUUUUAUUAUCUGAUUGCACUAGAUACAAAUGGAAGGGGUUUCAACUGUUCUGGAACUUGUUGCAGAGAGUCAUGAUGCCCAGAAGCAAGCAUGCAUGAUCGCUAUAUAAGGAGUUGGCUGUGCUUCACAAUUUUGUUUGAAUCGUUCUCCUAUUUAAAGAUGGUUUUGGUUUGGCACGACAAUAAAUAGGCUAUGCUGGUCCCUACUGCUGAAGGUUAGAAUUAGGAAAUUUACAAUAGCUGAAUCUGCAUAUUGCAAAAACACAAUAUCAAACUGUAGGAGGCUGCAAAGCAUUAUACUCGUCCAUAUUAUCACUGAUAAGUGUAUAGUUGAAUCUGUAUGUGAUGAUAUAAGUGUAUAGUUGUUGGCAUAUUAUCACUGAUAGAAAUAAAGCAAAUGUUAGGUACAAAGUGCUUAUCAUCUUUCUUGAUUCUUAAUCAAUAGACUUUGAAUGUUUUUGAGUUGUAAUUCCUUAACAAGAUCUGUAUACAUCUCAUCAGUUUUGGUUU